rnacentral:lncRNA from 1 species
CAAUCUUCCAAUCUCUCUCUCUCAAUUUUUCACUCUCUCAAUUAUUCAAUCUAUUCCAAUUCUCUACACAUUCCAUAACCUUCCCAUAUUUUCAUUUUUCCUAAUCCAAUUAUCAAAAAAUGUCUUCCUCCCGCUUAAAUAAAGGUAAGAAAAUAUAUGUUGCAAACCCAAAUUCUUGGGAUCCAAAUUACCGACCCCCCUCUAUUAAUGAGUAAAUAAUAAAAUGAGAUACAAAUUAUCAUUUUGUAUUAAUUAUACAAUCUAUUUGUAUUUAAAUUUUUUUUCCAAGUUAAUUACGCAAUCUAUUUUUUUUCAAAAUUUUAUAAUCGGACCAGAACUGUCUAGAACCGGAAUCGUCUAGAACCGGAACCAGAACUGUCUAGAACCGGAAGCGGAACCGUUUAGAACCGGAACCGGAACCGGCGGUUCUAGAACCGGAACCGAACUGACUAUUUUCGGUUCCGGUUAAGGUUCUAGAUUUUUGUGGAACCGGAACCGGCGGUUCCAUAAUCGGAACCGGCGGUUCCGGAACCGGAGUCAGGUCUAUGUGUACGUGUGUGUUCUAUAUAUUGGAUUUCUCUAACCAAACCCAAUCUAAUCUCUUAAACCUAACUUGGAUUGGGUUGGAUUAGUUAGGUCAUAUUGGGUUGUACUUUAUUUCUCAAGUUAGAUUGGGUUUAAGUAGUUUAAUAUAGGGAAAUAUUUGGAAUGUUUUUGAUGACCUAGUAUUUUUUACAUUAAGACUUGGGUCAGGUUGGCUUCAUCUAGGUUGGGUUGGGUCAUGAAUAAAUAUACAAUUUAUAUAAUCAUAUAUUUAUAAGUAAUCCACAAGAAAUAUAAAUAUAAAUUAUUUAUUAUCCAUAUACAUAGUUUAGUACGCUUGAAUAAGGUCAGGUUCAGUCAGGUUUAAGCUAGCUUAAGUUGGUUGAAGUUCAAUCCUAACCAAAAUCCUACUUGAGAUCCAGUUAUAAUUUUUAAACCCUAACCUAGUCCAAAUUUAUAAAACCCUAGGUCAACCUUGUCCAAUCAAUGGGCUGGGUGGGUGGAUCCAGGUUAAAGCCCAACCCAACCAGCAACAAAUAAAUCCUCCAGUCUGUCCACCUUAUUCUUCCCAUCCCCCUCAAUAUGCUAAUGGCCCCAUUACCCAUAUUCUCCUCCUCUCUCUCUCUCUC